rnacentral:rRNA from 1 species
GACGAACGCUGGCGGCGUGCCUAACACAUGCAAGUCGAACGGUGAAGGGACCGGUUUUUGCUGGUUCUGGAUGAGUGGCGAACGGGUGAGUAACACGUGAGUAACCUGCCCCCUUCUUCUGGAUAACCGCAUGAAAGUGUGGCUAAUACGGGAUAUUCUGCGCCUGCUGCAUGGUGGGUGUGGGAAAGAUAUUGUUUCGGUGGGGGAUGGGCUCGCGGCCUAUCAGCUUGUUGGUGGGGUGAUGGCCUACCAAGGCGGUGACGGGUAGCCGGCCUGAGAGGGUGGACGGUCACACUGGGACUGAGACACGGCCCAGACUCCUACGGGAGGCAGCAGUGGGGAAUAUUGCACAAUGGGCGCAAGCCUGAUGCAGCGACGCCGCGUGAGGGAUGGAGGCCUUCGGGUUGUAAACCUCUUUCGCCAGUGAAGCAGGCCUGUCCCUUUUGUGGGUGGGUUGACGGUAGCUGGAUAAGAAGCGCCGGCUAACUACGUG